rnacentral:RNase_P_RNA from 1 species
CAGGUCUGAUGGUCCGUCGCGUACACUUCCUGUAGAGUGUAUGAGGAAAGUCCGGGCAACACAGAGCGCCACACUCCCCACGGGGAGGCCGCAGAAAUGUGGCAGAAGUGUGACAGAAAACAACCGCCCCGCCCGGGGUAAGGGUGAAAAGGUGGGGUAAGAGCCCACCGGGCCGGAUGGCGACAUUCGGUGCCGCACACCUUGUGGGUUGCAAGGUCAAGUAUACCGGCAUUCAAGGGCUGCUCGUCCAUUGUCGGGGGGUAGACUGCGCAAGAUAAAUGACGGACGGCAAGGGGAAGGUCGGCGCGAGCUGAAACCGCCCCUCCACAUAACCCGGCUUACAUUCGGGCCUCCCUG